AUGACCCCGCGGAAGAUUCGCGGUUGUCCCUUCUUCCCCCAACGCUAUCACUUAAAGCCCCAACGCCGCAACGCGCGGGAGGUGCCGUGCCACCAAGCACCAAGCGGGAGAUCGGGGCUGCAGCGCCCGUCACCGCGACCGCUGCUUUCCCAUCCGGAGCCCCGCUGGUUCCCCCCCUCCCGGUCCUCGCCCACCCCUCAUAGCUCGGGGCGACCUCGCACCUCCGUCCCCGCUCCCCCCCCGGCUCACCUGGCGGGUACCUUGCGCGCUGAAUGGUGGGGCUGGCGGGGCGGGCGGCUGCGGGCGGCGGCGGGGUCGGCGCCGGCUGGGAGCUCUCCGCGGAGGCGGCGGCGGGGGAUGGCCGCGGCGGGGGGCGCGCUUCCGACCCGGGGGGCGCUGCGAUGGGGAGAGAAGGCUCGGUCAGCGACCGACGGGGCUCUCCCGGGCCAGGAGUGGCGGGGAGGGCCGGGCACCUCCGCGCUCACCUGCCGGGAGGAGCCCGCGGCCGCCCCUCCAUCCUUCCCUCCUUCCUUCCCUCCCUCCGUUCCGGGCAUCCCCGGAGUUUCUCUGUUGGGAGGGGUGGGGGGGAGCUGCGAGAUUCCUCGGUCGGCAGCACACCGCCCCCCAAUCCCCGAUCCCGGUCCCAGAGGACCCCUCCUUUCCCCGGUUACCCGGAGACGCGGCAGCGCUGCCCGGCACGCGGCUCCCUCCGGGCUGCGGCCGCCGGAGCCGGGAGCGCAGCGGCGCGGGGCCGUAAAUCAGGAGGCAAUGAGCGGCCGCGUCAAAGCCCUUUUCUUCCUCCGUGCACUUUACAUCGGGCCCCCGAGUGACGGCCCUCCCCGCCCUGUAACACGAGGAGCAAAGCGUGAAACACUCCAUUGUAACUGCGACUUCUUCGGCCGAGUUUCGAAACCUUCGUUUACCCGGGAGGGACCGCGCGGGGGGAAAUGCUCCGUUCAAUUAAAAGUUCCGAGCUCCGUUUCCAGCUCCCCGUUUCCCCCGGGGGGUUCGGGGCCACCCCCCGGCGGAGGCUCCGCUGUGCCGCAACCCACGGCCGGAGCGCUCCCGGCCCCGGCGCACGGCGGUCUCCACGGAGGAGGAAGAAAGCGGGCGAAGAAUGUCACCGAGCGGAGCGGCUUGGAGAAAAGUUGGCGGCUCGCUCCCAAAGUUUUUGCUCUCUUUCCUUUUUUUUUGUUGUCGUCGUUUUUUUUUUUUUCCCCUCGAGAAAGCAAUGAGGAGAUCCAGCACCGAGCCCCUAUGCACAACGCCGCGUUUCUCCGCUCUUUCCCUGGGAAAUUUCCUCGCAGUGCAACGCGGCGCCUCGAAACCCAGCGCUGCGGGUCUGCGCCUCACCGGCACCGCCGUCCCGAGCACCGCACCGCCACCGCGCUCCCUCGCGGCUCCGGCCCGGGGGCACCGCACGGCCGCGGCGAUGCUCCGUGCGCGGUCCCCGUGGGGCGCAGCUCCGCGCCAGGAGGCGAAGUCACACCGCUGCCAUCCAUCCAUCCAUCCAUCCAUCCAUCCAUCCAUCCAUCCAUCCAUCCAUCCAUCCAUCCAUCCAUCCAUCCAUCCAUCCAGUCCCUCUCAGGCGGCGGCAUCAUUUCCAUGACAACACCCGGCGGAUAA
ensembl:lncRNA